AUGGGAAGGAAAUGGCACGCGGUCGCGGUACUGACCAUAACGUACAUUGUGGCCACCACAGCCAUUGGGGCCACUGACAAAGGCCUCUCCAUCGCCGGCACCGUUGCAGCAGCGCCGGACGAAGCGAGCUCCCUGCAAAAGCUGGCCAGCUUGGACGGAACCAUCCAUCAACACGUGUGGCCGCCCUUGAAUGCUGGAUGGCGAACUGUGUUGGGGUCAUUCGUUGGAUUCUUUGGGGCAGCGCUUGGUAGCAUUGGCGGGCUAGGUGGAGGUGGGAUCUUCGUGCCGAUGCUGACGUUGAUUGUUGGUUUCGAUACCAAGUCGGCGACUGCGAUGUCAAAAUGUAUGAUCACGGGAGCUGCUGUUUCAACCGUGUACUGCAACCUCAAGCUGAAACACCCAACUUUGAACAUGCCAAUGAUAGACUAUGAUCUAGCCCUGCUCAUACAACCCAUGCUCAUGAUGGGGGUCAGCAUUGGGGUUAUUUGCAAUGUGAUAUUCCCCGACUGGCUUGUCACAGUUCUCUUCAUCGUCCUUUCUCUAGUUACUUCAACUAAAGCUUUUCUGAAGGGUGUUGAAACAUGGAAGAAAGAGGCACUAAUAAUAAGGGAGGCAGCGGCGAAAAAAUCAAACCAAUCUGGUGAUCGAAUUGAGUACACACCGCCUACCGGAUCCGAUGCCAUAGCAGAGACAAGACUCCCCUCGGAUGAAGCGGUAUCCAUUUGGAAGAACAUUUACUGGAAGGAGUUUGGACUCCUUAUCUUUGUUUGGGCAGCAAUCCUUACACUUCAAGUCGCCAUGAACUAUGUGGAAACUUGCUCCACUUUGUACUGGGUUUUCAGCCUACUCCAGAUCCCAGUGUCGGCUGGAGUGUCCAUAUACCAGGCAGUAGGUUUGGUGCAGGGAAAGAGGGUGAUAUCAUCAAGGGCAAAUACACAGACUAGCCUAAAAUCCCAUCUAGUGUUGAUAUGCUUCUUUGGUGUCACUGCUGGUGUCCUCGGCGGUCUUCUUGGCCUCGGUGGAGGCGCAAUCAUGGGGCCACUUUUCUUGGAGCUUGGUAUUCCUCCACAGGUCUCAAGUGCUACAGCCACCUUUGCAAUGAUGUUUUCAUCAUCCAUAGCCGUCAUAGAGUACUACCUCCUGAACCGGUUCCCUAUACCAUAUGCUCUCUUUUUCACAUGUGUGGCAUUCAUUGCUGCAAUCAUUGGUCAGCUCGUUGCAAGGAAACUGAUAAACUGGUUAGGAAGGGCAUCAUUUAUCAUCUUCGUGUUGUCCUUCAUGAUCUUCAUUGGUGUGAUUCCUCUAGGUGGAGUCGGUAUCUUAAACAUGAAGCACAAGAUGGUGCGGCACGAGUACAUGGGAUUUCAGGACAUUUGCAAGUCUGAUGCAUAG
rnacentral:rRNA from 1 species